rnacentral:rRNA from 1 species
CAGGCUUAACACAUGCAAGUCGAGGGGCAGCAUUUUAGUUUGCUUGCAAACUAAAGAUGGCGACCGGCGCACGGGUGAGUAACACGUAUCCAACCUGCCGAUAACUCGGGGAUAGCCUUUCGAAAGAAAGAUUAAUAUCCGAUAGUAUAUUAAAACCGCAUGGUUUUACUAUUAAAGAAUUUCGGUUAUCGAUGGGGAUGCGUUCCAUUAGUUUGUUGGCGGGGUAACGGCCCACCAAGACUACGAUGGAUAGGGGUUCUGAGAGGAAGGUCCCCCACAUUGGAACUGAGACACGGUCCAAACUCCUACGGGAGGCAGCAGUGAGGAAUAUUGGUCAAUGGACGAGAGUCUGAACCAGCCAAGUAGCGUGAAGGAUGACUGCCCUAUGGGUUGUAAACUUCUUUUAUAUGGGAAUAAAGUAUUCCACGUGUGGAAUUUUGUAUGUACCAUAUGAAUAAGGAUCGGCUAACUCCGUGCCAGCAGCCGCGGUAAUACGGAGGAUCCGAGCGUUAUCCGGAUUUAUUGGGUUUAAAGGGAGCGUAGGUGGAUUGUUAAGUCAGUUGUGAAAGUUUGCGGCUCAACCGUAAAAUUGCAGUUGAAACUGGCAGUCUUGAGUACAGUAGAGGUGGGCGGAAUUCGUGGUGUAGCGGUGAAAUGCUUAGAUAUCACGAAGAACUCCGAUUGCGAAGGCAGCUCACUAGACUGCAACUGACACUGAUGCUCGAAAGUGUGGGUAUCAAACAGGAUUAGAUACCCUGGUAGUCCACACAGUAAACGAUGAAUACUCGCUGUUUGCGAUGUACAGUAAGCGGCCAAGCGAAAGCAUUAAGUAUUCCACCUGGGGAGUACGCCGGCAACGGUGAAACUCAAAGGAAUUGACGGGGGCCCGCACAAGCGGAGGAACAUGUGGUUUAAUUCGAUGAUACGCGAGGAACCUUACCCGGGCUUAAAUUGCAUUUGAAUAAUCUGGAAACAGGUUAGCCGCAAGGCAAAUGUGAAGGUGCUGCAUGGUUGUCGUCAGCUCGUGCCGUGAGGUGUCGGCUUAAGUGCCAUAACGAGCGCAACCCUUAUCUUUAGUUACUAACAGGUCAUGCUGAGGACUCUAGAGAGACUGCCGUCGUAAGAUGUGAGGAAGGUGGGGAUGACGUCAAAUCAGCACGGCCCUUACGUCCGGGGCUACACACGUGUUACAAUGGGGGUACAGAAGGCAGCUACCUGGCGACAGGAUGCUAAUCCCAAAAACCUCUCUCAGUUCGGAUCGAAGUCUGCAACCCGACUUCGUGAAGCUGGAUUCGCUAGUAAUCGCGCAUCAGCCAUGGCGCGGUGAAUACGUUCCCGGGCCUUGUACACACCGCCCGUCAAGCCAUGAAAGCCGGGGGUACCUGAAGUACGUAACCGCAAGGAGCGUCCUAGGGUAAAACUGGUAAUUGGGGCUAAGUCAUAAC